rnacentral:tRNA from 1 species
UCGUGACCGGAACGGACAGGAGGGGAGUGCCGGCCUUCUUGCGGUCGGCGGCCUCGGGGCCGGUGCCCCACACGAUCGCGUCGUGCGUCACCGC